rnacentral:lncRNA from 1 species
GGAAGAACUUGUUUGGUGUGAGGGUGGUGAGAGCCUGGCCCAGGUUGCCCCGAGAAGCUGUGGCUGCCCCAUCCCUGGAGGGGUUCAAGGCCAGGUUGGAGGGGGCUUGGAGCAACCUGGUGUGGUGGGAGGUGUCCCUGCCCAGGGCAGGGGGUGGCACUGGGGGGGCUUUGAGGUCCCUUCCCACCCAACCCAUUCAGUGAUUCUAUGAUUCCAGAAGGGACCAGCGUGGUGCUGGAUAAGGAAACAUGAUGGGACACCCCACGCAGGGUGAGGGUCUUGGUGGUGUGUCCCAGUCCCAGUGGGGGGUCCUGGUGCCGGGUUGGGGUCCCGGUGGAGGGAUGUGGAUCCCGGUGGCAGGUACGGGUCAUCACUGGAGGCCACGGAGAUGCUGGGAGGGCUGGAGCCCCUCUGCUGGGAGGACGGGCUGAGAGAGUUGGGGGGGUUCAGCCUGGAGAAGAGAAGGCUCCAGGGAGACCUUGGAGCCCCUUCCAGUCCCUCAAGGGGCUCCAGGAGAGAUGGGGAGGGACUCUGGAUCAGGGAGGGGAGCCAUAGGAGGAGGGGGAAGGGUUUGACACUGAAAGAGGGGAGAUGGAGCUGAGCUGUGGGGAAGAACUUGUUUGGUGUGAGGGUGGUGAGAGCCUGGCCCAGGUUGCCCCGAGAAGCUGUGGCUGCCCCAUCCCUGGAGGGGUUCAAGGCCAGGUUGGAGGGGGCUUGGAGCAACCUGGUGUGGUGGGAGGUGUCCCUGCCCAGGGCAGGGGGUGGCACUGGGGGGGCUUUGAGGUCCCUUCCCACCCAACCCAUUCAGUGAUUCUAUGAUUCCAGAAGGGACCAGCGUGGUGCUGGAUAAGGAAACAUGAUGGGACACCCCACGCAGGGUGAGGGUCUUGGUGGUGUGUCCCAGUCCCAGUGGGGGGUCCUGGUGCCGGGUUGGGGUCCCGGUGGAGGCAUGUGGGUCCUGGUGGUGGGUGUGGGUCUUGGUGGUGUGUCCCAAUCCCAGUGGGGGGUCCUGGUGCCGGGUUGGAGUCCCGGUGGCGGGUGCGGGUCUCAGUGGUGUGUCCCGGGGGGGGGGUCCCGGUGGGGGGGUCCUGCUGCCCAGUUGAGGUCCCGGUGGCGGGUGCGGG